CUGAGGACGCGAGACCCGGCCGCGGGAGGCAGGAUGGGGGUCCAGGCCCUGUGGACGCUGUGGGAGCGGCCAGGGUCCCCAGCCGCGAGGCAGCCACCGGGGAGACUCGAGCUGUGUGGAUCCCGGGAGGUCUGGAGCCGCCAGGUGACCCUGAGCGCCCCUCCCCGGGGAGGGCCCGUGCCACCCGCAGUGCCGCCUCGCUCCUCCCUUUGCCUUUGCUUGGGGAGAGGAAGCCCGCUUCCUUGCCUGGGGUGAGGCGGCCCCCACUGGCUCGGCGGACGCUAGUGAGAAGCGGUGUCAACUAAAGAAAAGACUUGCAGUGAAAACAACUGGGUUACCUUUCCUCGGAAGUCUUCCUGAGGACGGCGCAGCAGGCCGACCGCUCCUUCCAGAGGCUCAGCGCAGGCCUGUGCAACAUCGCCCGGGUUUGGGUGGAGAGCGCAGACGGCUUUGGUGCCAGUCUUUCCUCUUCUGUGACCCGGGCAGGAGACGGCCCGUGCUGGUCCUGUGCUGCGUCCUGGAGCAUCCUCAGAGCGGCUGUGCACACAGCCAGGGUCUGGGACCAGGCGUCCACCUAGCCUUUUGCUUGGCCUCACAGCUGCAGAGACGGCAAGACGUUGCUUCAGUCAUUUGGUUCUGAAUAACUCAUCUCAUUGACAGUGUGGUUUUUAGGAAUUGGUUGUGUUCACUGAGUUGUGGCAAAGUGAGGAAAACCUAACCUAUCUAACACUCACAUCCCAAAUGUGAGUGUUUUAAACUAUGUAACAACUAACGAAACUGACAAAUUGGUACAGCUUAUGGACAUUGAAUUUUGAUUCUGCCAUUUCCUCAUUUUAGAGCCGGUAACAUGUCUUGAUUUUUUUUCCCCGUAGCUCAAACAUCUUCCAGGCUCCUGCACGGCCUGAGCUGUAACUCCGCACCCAGGAGACCCUGGGGUGAGAAGAAACUUGAUCUGAUCUUUAUAAAAAGUGCUCCUCCUCCGUGCAGUCAGCAUGAGUCUCCCUCCCAUCCAGUCCAGCAGCGCUGUCGGGCUCUGUGAAGAGAGGCUGGAAACCAGAGAGGCCCUGGGAAGGCUCCUGUGGCACAGGUGGCAGCAGAGAGGACAGCUGUCAGUCCCCGCCCUCAUCCUAGUGUUUAGCAGACUGCCUCACACCACAGCUUUCCAUUUUAACCCUUUGCGUUAAGAGAAAAGCUGGAAUAAAACAUUUCUAAUGUUGCUUGUGAAAUUCAGCCCUGGCCACCAAAAGCACAUGGGGCUUCCAUGUCUCUCCUGUCCCAUGGAUGCAUUUCCUGGCUGUUGUAACCCACCUGCGCCGUUGGUGUGUGGCUGAACUGAAGCUGUGUUUAGGAAACCCAGAUGCAAGGCCUCUGCGGGGCUUGGCCCGUUCCUGGUCCCGUGUGUGGAGUCACAACUCUGGCAAGGGCUGCUUUUGAGGAGCUGAGGCUUCUGAGCUCCUCCAGGCGGGUAUAGGCAGGCGGGUCCUGCUGUCAGCCAAGCUGCAGGAUUUUUAAGAGGAAAGCAGGGGCUGCGUACUGUAGGCUCACGCCUAUAAUCCCAGCACUUGGGAGGCCAAGCAGGAGGAUAACUUUAGCCCAGAAGUUUGAGAACAGCCUUGGUCCUGUCUACAAAAAAGUGUAAAAACGGCCAGGCGCGGUGGCUCACACCUGUAAUCCCAGCACUUUGGGAGACCGAGGCGGGUGGAUCACGAGGUCAAGAGAUCGAGACCAUCCUGGUCAACAUGGUGAAACCCCAUCUCUACUAAAAAUACAAAAAAUUAGCUGGGCACGGUGGCGCAUGCCUGUAAUCCCAGCUACUCAGGAGGCUGAGGCAGGAGAAUUGCCUGAACCCAGGAGGCGGAGGUUGCAGUGAGCCGAGAUCGCACCAUUGCACUCCAGCCUGGGUAAUAAGAGUGAAACUCCGUCUCAAAAAAAAAAAAAGUAAAAACUAGCCAGGCAUGGUGGCCCAUGCCCAUAGUCCUGGCUACUUGGGAGACUGAGGUGGGAGGAUUGCUUGAGUCUGGGAGGUCGAGACUGCAGUAAGCUGUGAUGGUGCCACUGCACUCCAGCCUGGGCCACAGAACAAGACCAUGUAUCAAAAAGAAAGUCGCUAUGGAAGGGCCUCUGGUCCCCUGACCAGGCUAUAGGGGCCACUGUUCCAGCCCAGCCUUCUGCAUGUGCUGAGAUGUGAGCAGCGUCAGCCCUGGAGAUCCUUACCCCUCUGUAGGAGAGUCAGUCGGGCUGCCAGGGACUGGGAUCUGAGUUCAUUGCUGGCCUGUGUGUGUGUUUCCUGGGAUAACGGCCCUACAGUCUUUGUCAGGUUCUCCAGUCGGAAUGAGACCAAAGAGUAGGAAUUUGGAUGCGGAGAAAUGUGGAGUAGGGCGGGAACCUCCUUCCUAGGAAGGAACCUGCGACCCUGCAUGGAGGUCCCAGGUUCCCAUGGGGACUCUGUCCUGUCUUCAGCCUGAGUCUCUUGAGUUCAGGAAGUUUGAACCUGGUUGGAGAAUAAACCCUGUGUGUUUUCAGUAGCCUCCAGCUGACACAAGCUUCUGCAGACCCAGCAGUGGUGGGUAUGGGUACUCCCUGUGCCAUCCAUUGGGGACACCUCAUGCGUCACUUGCGCUCAACCCACGUCACAGCUGCAGGAGCCGCCAGCCCCUGCUGGUUUAAUCAUUGGAUGCAACGCUGAGGCACAGACAGCGCUGUUAUAAAAACUCGGAUGCCUACGCCUGCCUAUGUCUGCUUGUGUCUCCCUGUGCCUGUGCAUCUGGCCUCAUGCAUUUCAAACAUCCUCUGAGAAGGGGCCACAGGCAGGUGCCACCUAUUGCCACAGCAUCACGGCUGGAAGUGUCCUGUACUCUGCUGGGGCGGGGCGGCCGCUCUCCCUGUCCUCCAGGAGCUCACGUGUGCCUGCCUGUGAGCGCCUCGACGACAGAGCCGGCGCCCGCCCCAGUGUCCGCGCCUGGACGGCAGAGUGGCCAGCUCACCAUGGAGAUAUUGCUGCACUUUGUAGCAAUUCCUGGGCUUCAUCAAAGCAGCAGCUUCCGGACUCAGAUGUGUAGGUCUCCUGAGAUGUUUUGUUUAAAUAGGUAUCAAUGUAGAAAGGGAGAUCAUGUGGUGAUCCACUGGUGUCCUAGCGAGGAAGUAACUGGGUCUCAUGCACACGCUAGCUUGACUGCUGUGCUUUGUUGGGGGAAGGAGGGCAGGAUUUGAGAGCUUGUGAGUUUUGUGAAAUAAUGGUCAGUUAAUCCCCUGUGUGAUUCUGAUCAGUAAGAAGACCCCAUUGAUGCUGUUGGUCAAGGGACUGUCAUUUCAGAGUCCGGAUCCGAAUGUGGUCCUGGCUGCUCUCUGAGGGUUGUCCUAGGAGGAGGUGGCAGAGGGCACGUGGGCAUCCCGUGUUCCCUCAUGACGGCUGUCGCCUGCAAUCACCUGAAAAUAAAAGGCUUAAUUUUAAAAACUCUUGUUUCUCAGAAACAGCCGUUUGCUACUGUGAGUUAUGCUGUGGAAUUCUAAUAAUUGGGGUAAUAAAUCUGAUUAAGGUUUUCUUUAAA